rnacentral:lncRNA from 1 species
AAUUCGGUAAGUUAAAUUAUCCAUUUGGAUAACUUUAUUUUCUCCUUUACAAACGAUGGUUGAUUGGCAAAACCAUCAGACAACAUUUAAGUUGAAGUUUUUACGUUCCCAGUUCAAAUACCACCAUGGUCAACUUUACCUUUUUUUUUCCUUCUGAGGUCGAUAAAUAAAGCGCCACUAUAACCAAUAUUUAUAAAAUGGAAGAAUCUAAAAAGUCCGCUCAUGUUGCUUAUGAACAUCACAUAAACAAAUGAGGAAGAUGUUGUCAGAAAUAUAUUUUUAUUCAUAGCACUGGAAACAUUUAUGGCACUAAUACAAUAAUUAAUUCAUAUAUUUUAUUUUAUUAGCGAAUCUCCAAAAAAGUUUCAAAAUUUUAAAGAUAAAAACAAAAUAAAAAUAUUGAAUGUGUGAAGGUUUGCAGCGAAUGCGAAAUUAUUGUAACCCUUUGAACACGGUAAAUUUGGAGUUUGGUACAUAUUUGAAUUUCAAAUUGACAAAAAAAGAGAAAUUAGGAAACUUUGCCGGUCUAACUUUAUUGAUUCCUUUACAUUUCUUUUUAAUCUGAGGCUCCCAAGUUCGAUUUUCACUUAAAAUUAUUCAAUAGUAAUGUUUGUUGGUGAAUAAUGAAUGAAAGAAAAUAAAAUGAAGAGGUAAAAAUAAGUCAGAAAAACAAAUUUAGUAAACAUAAGUGUUAGAACAAAAAUUGAAUUCUUUAUAUAGAAGUAACGUUGGGGAACAAGAAAGAUUAUAAAAGACAGAAAAAGUUUAAAAAAAAGAGAGCAAAAACAAGAAAAAGCAAAUCUGGCGCGAUGUGAAGUUAAAGGGAAGCUAUCCCAGGAUGCUUCGAUCGGCGAUUUCAAGACGAGGCUGAAAAGAAGACUGAAUGUAAGACUAAACUAAACUGUAAGUGUUUUGAAAUUCUAUCUCACGCUUUGCUGUCCCAUCUCAGUCCACAUUUUUAACAACUUCAAUGAAAAACUUUUAUUUAAUUCUCCCCCGACAGUCAAUGGCAUUAUUUUCUGGUUUCUAUUUGCGGAAAUGCGCCAAAACCGCACAGUCAGUCGGUGUGUGUCCACUCUGUGUGUUCCACUUUCUUUCUCUCUCUCUCUCUUCUCCUUCUUGUCUAUCAGCAAGCAAACGAUAAAAGAAUUAUUUCCCCCACCGAGUUCGAUAUUUCUCCCUCCCCUCUUUACAAUUCCUCCACUUUAUCUAUUUACAUACGUAAAGCUCCUCUAUACGCACCCACGUAUACAUACCUCCAGACACACACACACAUGCACGACCAGAUGAAUAAUGUCUGGUUGUGUUACACACAAGCUUCUUCUUCGCCUUUACAAACCAUAAAUACACACAACACAACAUCUCCGCCGCACCGUUCGUUGUUGCUGCAUCGACACCGGUUAAAAGCGAAAUCCACAACAGGCACCGACCACCACCAACAAAACAACACCACAACCGUUUGUUUACAAACAACUUAUCCUCGUCACUUCAAUCCGACUGCAUCAGGCAUUUUGCCUUCAUCGACGACUAUUCUACUCGACUCUUAACAUUAAACCAUUCCUUUUUGCCGUUUGUUGCUGGCCUCUUUGCCAUUUCAACAUCCACAGACACAGUAUAAAAUAUCGUUUCAAAUAUGCUUACAUGUCCUUCCAAGAUCUCUGAUUCAUUUCAGAUCCUUAAUUAUGGUACCAGUACCGGGUCCAGUCUACGCUACUAGUACCCCUAAUUAUUUUUCUCAAGUGGAAUACUGACUUCUGAUGCUUACAUGUUCCUCCAAGAUCUCUGAUUCAUUUCAGAUCCUAAUUAUGAUACUAGUACCGGGUCCAGUCUACGCUACGAGUACCCCUAAUUAUUUUUCUCUAGUGCAACACUGACUUCUGAUAAUUUACUGUUAAUGACGAGAAAGCAGAGACACCCCUGGGUACCAAUGACGUUAUAAAUACAUCGUCCUCCAGUCUACCCUUCGUUUUUCUAUCAACUCCCUCAGAUGAAGUUUAAUUUCUACUCUGAGACUACUGUAGUAAAACGUUCAAACUUCUUUACAUUUCCACCAACUUAUAUACAUAUGUGUCUAUAUAUCUAUCUAUAUAAUUGUUUGGGAGGGAGAGAUCCAGUGUGUAUAUGUAAAUGUAUUAUAUACACAGCAAAAUUAAGAAGAAAUGUCACGUGCGAUGUAAAGUUUUGUUUAUCUGAGAUAGAAGCCAAAUCGUGUGACUCAUAACUGGUAUUUAAUUAAUCGGGUAGCCUUGGCAGGCUAGGGAUGAUAUACAUCAACUCCCCGACUCUAUCUGAACCCAUCAAAUAGAAGAAGACAUUCAGUUUAGAAAACGUGAAAGUAUGAAAGGUUACCCCAGUGACUGGUUCGUAACCAAUCGCUAAUGCUUUAUUGUUCGCUUGUUCUAAUAUUGAGUCGAUUUCGCCCCAGUAAAGGUCACCUGCAGACUUGCCGCCUAUCCACACUGAGAUUCCUCUCGUUUGCUUACUACAGCAGAAACGGUUUCAUAAGCAGUAACCAAGACGGUCGACGACAGAAACCCAUGAAAACACGGUGUUUCCUUUUUAUGUAUAGAGAAGCAAUAAAAUCAAUUUACUAUUUUCACAGUGCUUCAUUAAAAACAAAAUACCGAUCAAGAACAAAUUCAGUCCAAACAGAAAUAGCAGCUAAAUUCUCCCAAAUCACACCCUGCCAUACAUGUUAGUGAAUGACCAAAAAAGAAAAAAAAACAAACAGGUGUUAUGUAAUCACUUUUAUUAGCUUUCAGCUAAUGUAAGAGCGUAACACCUUUGAUCGUUGAUCUGCCUUGGAGUUUAAACAAUAAAACCUGCUAUUAUUUCCCCUCCCAUCGUGUCCCCCCUCUUAAAUUUUUUUUCUUUUAACCUUUACUAAAGUGUUUCUGCCACUGAAAUAUAUUAAAUAUAGUUACGGCUUUUCAUCCCACCUUUCUUGAAGGCGUGUGUCACAUAAUAUAGCGAUAGAAAAAAAAAAUUAGAAUUUGUCACAUCCAUACCUUUCCCUGGGGCACGAAAAAGUAACUUAGGCACAGUGAAGGCGUAAAUAAAGUUAUGAGGUUUUGGGCCUUCCAGAGAGCGCUACAUUGUCGUAAAUCAAAGUAAAAAUAGAGUGAGUCCAGCUGUGUAUGGAUACCGGUUCCCUGAUGUUGGCGCCUGUGGAAAUGCUUUCAAUUCGUCUAUGUGUAAAGUUGAGUAGGAAAAGCUUCAGAACAACUUUUUUUUUUUUUUUUUCAGUGUUGUUUAAAAUCCAUCAGUUUUCUUACCAACACACUUAGGAAUAUGUUUGUUGAGAUCUUGUCCUGGUCUUGUAAAAUUGUAGGUGUUCGUUGUUCUUGCAUGUGCUAAGCUGUUGUUCAACUGCUGCUGUGGUCCGCACACGAAAUGCCUCUGUCGCUUCCAACUCCCUAACUGAACAAACUCUUCAAUCUACACAGGCCACUUUAACUUCCCACUCCUCCCACUUUAUCACCUCCGCCCGUUCCUCUUCCUCUCUGUCCCGUCUUUCAUCACUCCCUCCUUCACCAUGUCUCUAUCUUUCAAGUCUCCCCCCUAUCUGUUCUGUCUUUCAUCACUCCCUCCUUCACCAUGUCUCUAUCUUUCAAGUCUCCCCCCUAUCUGUUCCGUCCUUCAUCACUCCCUCCUUCACCAUGUCUCUAUCUCUCAAGCCUCCCCACUCUCUCUCUAAUAUAUAUCUAUAGUUCUUUGAAAUUUAUUGAUGCAUAAUAUCUAUCUACAGAGUAAGGUAACACACAUACAUACACACACGCACUCACCUAGCAAGCGCUGCACUUAUAUAUAUAUAUAUCAUAGGAAGCCGGACCUCCACACGCGUACACACACACACAUGUCAGAGCCGAACCGACACCACGCACACCCUGAGAAAGAAUCUCCCUCCCCCCCUCUCUCAGCUCCGUCACAGAAUUAGCGAUCGGCAGGAGGAGCAGCAGUGCUCGACGUAACUUCUCCUUCGCUGGCGAUAAGUCAGCCGGUGUCAGUCUAUUUCUAGUUUCCUCUGUAUAAAGGCUCCUCGUGCAUUCUGUGUCUCUCUCUCACGUACACAUACCACCCAAUAACAGUUGAUCCGUCAAAGCCCGCAAGCACUGUCUUAUAUACAUUCUCUAUCCAAGUCUUCCCUUUUUACUAACGUUCUUCAUUG